UACUGGAGUUAGGCAAUGAGGAU
rnacentral:piRNA from 1 species